GACGAACCGUGCGAACGUUGUUCGGAUUCACUGGGCUUAAAGGGCGCGUAGGCGGGUUGUCAAGUCAGGGGUGAAAGCCUCCAGCUCAACUGGAGAAGUGCCUUUGAUACUGAUGAUCUUGAGGGAGGUAGGGGCAUGUGGAACUUCCGGUGGAGCGGUGAAAUGCGUAGAUAUGCGGAGGAACACCGAUGGCGAAGGCAAUCCCCUGGGCCUGCACUGACGCUCAUGCACGAAAGCGUGGGGAGCAAACAGG
rnacentral:rRNA from 1 species